UGGGGGAUAUUGCACAAUGGGCGAAAGCCUGAUGCAGCGACGCCGCGUGGGGGAUGAAGGCCUUCGGGUUGUAAACUUCUUUUGCUCUGAACAAGGCGCACCAUGGGGUGUGUUGAGUGUAGGGGUUGAUUAGCGCCGGCUAACUACGUGCCAGCAGCCGCGGUAAUACGUAGGGCGCGAGCGUUGUCCGGAAUUAUUGGGCGUAAAGGGCUUGUAGGUGGCUGGUUGCGUCUGUCGUGAAAGCUCAUGGCUUAACUGUGGGUUUGCGGUGGGUACGGGCUGGCUUGAGUGCAGUCGGGGAGGCUGGAAUUCCUGGUGUAGCGGUGGAAUGCGCAGAUAUCAGGAGGAAUACCGGUGGCGAAGGCGGGUCUCUGGGCUGUUACUGACACUGAGGAGCGAAAGCAUGGGGAGCGAACAGG
rnacentral:rRNA from 1 species